rnacentral:rRNA from 1 species
GAUGAACGCUAGCGGCAGGCCUAACACAUGCAAGUCGAGGGAGAGGUUACCUUCGGGUAACCAAAACCGGCGCACGGGUGCGUAACGCGUAUACAAUCUGCCUUUCACAUAGGGAUAGCCCGAAGAAAUUUGGAUUAAUACCUAAUGGUAUAUAAGAGCGGCAUCGUUUUUAUAUUAAAGCUACGGUGGUGAAAGAUGAGUAUGCGUUCUAUUAGCUAGUUGGAGAGGUAACGGCUCCCCAAGGCGACGAUAGAUAGGGGUUCUGAGAGGGAUGUCCCCCACACUGGUACUGAGAUACGGACCAGACUCCUACGGGAGGCAGCAGUGAGGAAUAUUGGACAAUGGUCGGAAGACUGAUCCAGCCAUGCCGCGCGCAGGAUGAAGGUCCUAUGGAUUGUAAACUGCUUUUGUAAGGGAAGAAUAAGGAGUACGUGUACUUUGAUGACGGUACCUUACGAAUAAGCAUCGGCUAACUCCGUG